rnacentral:rRNA from 1 species
GAGAAAUUUGAUCCUGGCUCAGGACGAACGCUGGCGGCGUGCUUAACACAUGCAAGUCGAACGAUGACGGUGGUGCUUGCACCGCCUGAUUAGUGGCGAACGGGUGAGUAACACGUGAGUAACCUGCCCUCCACUUCGGGAUAACCUCGGGAAAUCGUGGCUAAUACCGGAUAUGAGCACUCAUCGCAUGGUGGGUGUUGGAAAGAUUUAUCGGUGGGGGAUGGACUCGCGGCCUAUCAGUUUGUUGGUGAGGUGAUGGCUCACCAAGACGAUGACGGGUAGCCGGCCUGAGAGGGCGACCGGCCACACUGGGACUGAGACACGGCCCAGACUCCUACGGGAGGCAGCAGUGGGGAAUAUUGCACAAUGGGCGAAAGCCUGAUGCAAGCGACGCCGCGUGGGGGAUGACGGCCUUCGGGUUGUAAACCCCUUUCAGUAGGGAAGAAGCGAGAG